CACAAUUGUCAUCAGAGGUGGCAGAUUCACAUAUGUUUCUAUCUACUGUAACAACAUGCUAAAUGGAGCAGCACGGAAAAUCAUCCAAUUACAAUAUGCAGGUAUAUUGUAAAUCAUCCAAUUACAAUAUUGGGAGCUCUAAAGUUCAGUUGUCCAAAUAUAGCUCCAUACAAGUCAAAGGGCAUUGAGAGAGCAACAGAGCUUAAUGGAGGACGGAGCACCAAAGCAAACAACAACAUUACAUGUCAAAAAGCUCAUGACCAGACAAACCGUGAAUUUUCCAUCCUCUCUCAUGCCUGAGUACCUAUGUAGAUCAGUCAUCUCUGCCUACUGGGGAGUGGUAGUUUAUUGUGGGCAAACAACAAUAUUACAUGUCAAAAAGCUCAUGACCAGACAAACGGUGAAUUUUCCAUCCUCUCUCAUGCCUGAGUACCUAUGUUUGUUUUUUUGUUUUUGUUUU
rnacentral:lncRNA from 1 species